UGGGGAAUUUUCCGCAAUGGGCGAAAGCCUGACGGAGCAACGCCGCGUGGGGGAAGAAGGUUCUUGGAUUGUAAACCCCUUUUCUCAGGGAAGAAGUUCUGACGGUACCUGAGGAAUCAGCCUCGGCUAACUCCGUGCCAGCAGCCGCGGUAAUACGGAGGAGGCAAGCGUUAUCCGGAAUCAUUGGGCGUAAAGCGUUCGUAGGCGGCUGUUCAAGUCUGCUGUCAAAGACCGAGGCUCAACCUCGGGUCGGCAGUGGAAACUGGAUAGCUAGAGGUCGGUAGGGGCAAAGGGAAUUCCCAGUGUAGCGGUGAAAUGCGUAGAUAUUGGGAAGAACACCGGUGGCGAAAGCGCUUUGCUGGACCGAACCUGACGCUGAGGGACGAAAGCUAGGGGAGCGAAUG
rnacentral:rRNA from 1 species